rnacentral:rRNA from 1 species
UACGGAGGAUGCAAGCGUUAUCCGGAUUUAUUGGGCGUAAAGCGUCCGUAGGUGGUUUUCCAAGUCUGCUGUUAAAGCGCGAGGCUUAACCUCGUACAGGCAGUGGAAACUGGAUGACUAGAGUAUGGUAGGGGUAGCGGGAAUUCCCAGUGUAGCGGUGAAAUGCGUAGAUAUUGGGAAGAACACCAGCGGCGAAAGCGCGCUACUGGGCCAUUACUGACGCUGAGGAGCGAAAGCGUGGGUAGCAAACAGG